UACGGGGGGGGCAAGCGUUGCUCGGAAUCACUGGGCGUAAAGGGUGCGUAGGCGGGCCUUUAAGUCAGGGGUGAAAUCCUGGAGCUCAACUCCAGAACUGCCUUUGAUACUGAAGAUCUUGAGUUCGGGAGAGGUGAGUGGAACUGCGAGUGUAGAGGUGAAAUUCGUAGAUAUUCGCAAGAACACCAGUGGCGAAGGCGGCUCACUGGCCCGAUACUGACGCUGAGGUGCGAAAGCGUGGGGAGCAAACAGG
rnacentral:rRNA from 1 species